CCCUUCGCUUCGCCCAUGCUGCAGGUGCUCCUAGAGUCGGCUCCUCCAGCACAGUCCGCAGGCGAGGGCUCCAGGGCGGCUCCUAGAGAGCCACGCCCACAGCGCGACGCCGGGCAGCGCCGCAGCCUCAGGGGCCGCGGGUUCCCGCAGCGCGGCGUCCCGGGUCCUGCCGCGGCAGGGAGUGCCGAGGGCUACAGGAAGCGCGCUGGUCUCUGGUGCUGGAGAGACACAUGAGCUGGUGACAGUGCUACUGAGCUGGCAGCUUGAGAGGGAUCCAGCCAGGGAAAUGGAAUUAGUCCUGCACGGGCCACUGCCCAGCCACCUGCAUUCUCACCAGGCACGAAGCCACUGCUGACACUCAAACAGAGGAAAGCUGAGCAGAGGCAACUUAGAAUGAAGAGUCCCCAGGAGGACAUGCAUUGACCAUGACCUGAGGAGGGAUAUCAGCUCAAGAAAGGAAAAGAAGGGACAUUUCAAAGAGGAAAGUGAUCAGCCAUGGAGCUGGGGGAAGAAAAGACAACCCUGGACAGUUGGCAGUAUCUUCCCAGGUCUCCCAAGGGAAGGGACUCGUUGCUCACAGUCGUGCAGAUGCCUGAGUCAGAAUGUGCUUACCCAAGGCCAUUAAACCUUGACUCAGUGCUCUAGCUCCC